UACAGAGGGUGCGAGCGUUAAUCGGAAUUACUGGGCGUAAAGCGUGCGCAGGCGGUUUUGUAAGUCAGAUGUGAAAUCCCCGGGCUUAACCUGGGAACUGCGUUUGAAACUACAAGGCUAGAGUGUGGCAGAGGGGGGUGGAAUUCCACGUGUAGCAGUGAAAUGCGUAGAGAUGUGGAGGAACACCGAUGGCGAAGGCAGCCCCCUGGGUUAACACUGACGCUCAUGCACGAAAGCAUGGGGAGCAAACAGG
rnacentral:rRNA from 1 species